rnacentral:lncRNA from 10 species
CAAAGUUCUUCCAACAAUUUAAGCCAGGAAUUGCCCCACUGUUUCCGAGGUGAUGAGAGCCUCUGAGAGAUGAGAAAACUGAGGCACAUAGGGUUAAGUAGAUUGUCCAAGGUCACUGCUGAUAACUGCAGCACUGGGAUUUGAAGCACUGAACUCUGCUGACUCCUGAGAAGCAUACCUCUAACAGCUGAGAUUUCCAAGGCUUUUUGGCCAAUGUGUUUGUCAACAUCUGCAACAAAUUUCCAGAACUCAGGCCAGAGCCCUGGGCAAAGCCUCCUUUUUUGUCUCCUCUUUUUAUCUCCCAGUGCAGUAGGAAGCCAUCAGAUGAUUUUAAAUGGAGAAGUAAGACACUUGGAUCUGUGCCUAAAAGAAUCACUCUGCUGUUGAGUUCCUGAGAAGCAGACUCUGAGAUAGAGAUCAUUUUGUGGGAAGCUUAUUGGGAGGUGCUCUUGGGAUCCACACCUGUAGAAGCCUCUUUGCUCCCCACACUUCAGGACUGGC